CGGGACGGGUGAGUAAUGUAUGGGGAUCUGCCUGAUGGCGGGGGAUAACUACUGGAAACGGUAGCUAAUACCGCAUAAUGUCUACGGACCAAAGCGGGGGACCUCCGGGCCUCACGCCAUCAGAUGAACCCAUAUGGGAUUAGCUUGUAGGUAAGGUAACGGCUUACCUAGGCGACGAUCCCUAGCUGGUCUGAGAGGAUGAUCAGCCACACUGGGACUGAGACACGGCCCAG
rnacentral:rRNA from 1 species